rnacentral:rRNA from 1 species
UGCUUGUCUCAAAGAUUAAGCCAUGCAAGUCUAAGUACACACGGCCGGUACAGUGAAACUGCGAAUGGCUCAUUAAAUCAGUUAUGGUUCCUUUGAUCGCUCUACCGUUACUUGGAUAACUGUGGCAAUUCCAGAGCUAAUACAUGCAAACGAACGCUGACCUCCGGGGAUGCGUGCAUUUAUCAGACCCAAAACCCAUGCGGGGUGGCCCCUCGGGGCGCCCCGGCCGCUUUGGUGACUCUAGAUAACCUCGAGCCGAUCGCUGGCCCCCCGUGGCGGCGACGUCUCAUUCGAAUGUCUGCCCUAUCAACUUUCGAUGGUACUUUCUGUGCCUACCAUGGUGACCACGGGUAACGGGGAAUCAGGGUUCGAUUCCGGAGAGGGAGCCUGAGAAACGGCUACCACAUCCAAGGAAGGCAGCAGGCGCGCAAAUUACCCACUCCCGACUCGGGGAGGUAGUGACGAAAAAUAACAAUACAGGACUCUUUCGAGGCCCUGUAAUUGGAAUGAGUACACUUUAAAUCCUUUAACGAGGAUCAAUUGGAGGGCAAGUCUGGUGCCAGCAGCCGCGGUAAUUCCAGCUCCAAUAGCGUAUAUUAAAGUUGUUGCGGUUAAAAAGCUCGUAGUUCGAGCUCAGUUCCGGACUGGCCGGGGAGGUCACCGCCCGGUGCUUCCCCGUCAGGCUCCGAACAGCUUCCCUGAGCGGAAGCCAAGCCGGUUCUGCCGGGGUGCUCUUUACCGAGUGUCCCGCGCGGCCGGCCAGUUCACCUUGAAUAAAUGAGAGUGCUCAAAGCAGGCUACUCUCGAAUAUAAUGCCCGAAUGUUACCUGCAUGGAAUGAUGGAAGAUGAUCUCGGUUCCAUUUUAUUGGUGGUGGGAGCCAGAGGUAAUGAUAAACAGGGACUGUCGGGGGCAUCCGUACUACGACGCGAGAGGUGAAAUUCAGUGACCGUCGUAGGACGAACAACAGCGAAAGCAUUUGCCAAGAAUGUCUUCGUUGAUCAAGAACGAAAGUUAGAGGAUCGAAGGCGAUCAGAUACCGCCCUAGUUCUAACCCUAAACGAUGCUGACUAGCAAUUCGCCGUCGUUAUUCCCAUGACGUGGCGAGACGCCCCCGGGAAACCUCAAGUCUUUGAGUUCCGGGGGUAGUAUGGUUGCAAAACUGAAACUUAAAGGAAUUGACGG